AGAGGCAAUAAAGAAGAGGGUCCAACAUGCCUAGAGUUGAUGAAUCCAUGGAAUGGGCCCCUACCCAGCACCAAUCAGAAAGAAAAGAAGAGAUCAUCAUUUCAAAGAAAAAGAAGCUUGUCUUCCUCAAUGAUUCCGGUUCACAUGCCUCCAAAAGUGGAGUUGUAUGUCAGACACAAGAUUCCAUGAACAGCAGAACAGCUCUGUUUUGCCCGGAGGUUCGAGGAUGAAUUACCAUCUCGGGUUAAAUGUCACUUUAGUGUGGUGGGACGCAUGCUUUUGGGAAUGAAUGAGGUGUGUACCUUGAUCCAUCCACUUGUACCCACACUAGUUGUGAUAGUUACACAAAAGGUGGUCCUCUGUUGUCCUAGAAUAUCUCCGGAGGACUCCGUGACCGACGGGGCGUGACAAUGUGGAACAGUUAUGAGCUUUCCUUGGCUUGUGUCGCAUCGACGGAAACUCAAGUGGGUCACAAACAGCGAAUGAGUAUGGCGAAUCCAGAUGUGGAGAUGGUAAAUUGUGAUCCCGAUGGCUCGAAUUACUCCCAAGGAGAAAGGAACGAGGUGAGAGACCGGAACUGCUUGCUUGAUAUAGUCAAAAGACAAAGACGCGUCCAGGUGGCGCUGCUGCAUAUCUUUUGACCCUUCACACUGACUUCAUGGGCACGUUAACCCUAUUUGAUUACAAGAG